ensembl:lncRNA
CACUAAGCUAAGGACCCUGGGACUGAACACCUCCCUCUGUAACUGGAUCCUGGACUUCCUGACGGGCCGCCCCCAUGUGGUAAGGGUAGGCAACAACACAUCUGCAAUGCUUAUCCUCAACACUGGGGCCCCUCAGUGGUGUGUGCUUAGUCCCCUCCUGUACUCCCUGUUCACCCACGACUGCAUGGCCAAGCACGACUCCAACACCAUCAUUAAGUUUACUGUCGACACAACAGUGGUAGGCCUGAUCACCAACAACGAUGAGACAGCCUAUAGGGAGGAGGUCAGAGACCUGGUUGUGUGGUGCCAGGACAACAACCUCUCCCUCAACGAUGAGACAGCCUGUAGGGAGGAGGUCAGAGAACUGGCAGUGUGUUGCCAGGACAACAACCUCUCCCUCAAUGUGAGAAAGACAAAGGAGCUGAUAGUGGACUACAUGGAAAACUAUAGGAAAACGAGGGCCGAACAGGCCCCCAUUAACAUCGACUGGGCUGUAGUGGAGCGGGUCGAGAGUUUCAAGUUCCUUGGUGUCCACAUCUAUCAUGAUCCAAAACCACCAAGACAGUCAUGAAGAGGCCAUUUCCCCUUAAGGAGACUGAAAAGUUCUGGCAUGGGUCCCCAGAGCCUCGAAAAGUUCUACAGCUGCACCAUUGAAAGCAUCCUGAUUGGUUGCAUCACCGCUUGGUAUGGCAACUGCUCGGCAUCUGAGCCUAAGAAACUACAGAGGGUAAUGCGUACGGCCCAGUAUAUCACUGGGACCAAGCUUCCUGCCAUCCAGGACCUCUAUCCCAGGCUGUGUCAGAGGAAGGCCCAAAAAAUGGUCAAAGACUCCAGCCACCCAAGUCAUAUACAGUUCUCUCUGCUACCAGGCGGUAAGCGGUACCGGAGCACCAAGUCUAGGACCAAGAGGCUCCUUAACAGCUUCUACCCCCAAGCCAUAAGACUGCUGAACAACUAAUCAAAUGGCCAUCCCUCCCCCCUUUGAUUUUACACUGCUGCAACUCGCUGUUUGUUAU